GAUUAUGGCUCAGGAUGAACGCUAGCGACAGGCUUAACACAUGCAAGUCGAGGGGCAGCAUAGAAGUAGCAAUACUUGGUGGCGACCGGCGCACGGGUGAGUAACGCGUAUGCAACCUACCUAUCAGAGGGGAAUAACCCGGCGAAAGUCGGACUAAUACCGCAUAAAACAGGGGCACCGCAUGGUGAUAUUUGUUAAAGAAAUUCGCUGAUAGAUGGGCAUGCGUUCCAUUAGGUAGUUGGUGAGGUAACGGCUCACCAAGCCGACGAUGGAUAGGGGAACUGAGAGGUUGGUCCCCCACACUGGUACUGAGACACGGACCAGACUCCUACGGGAGGCAGCAGUGAGGAAUAUUGGUCAAUGGGCGGGAGCCUGAACCAGCCAAGUCGCGUGAAAGGAAGAAGGAUCUAUGGUUCGUAAACUUCUUUUGCAGGGGAAUAAAGUGCAGGACGUGUCCUGUUUUGUAUGUACCCUGAGAAUAAGGAUCGGCUAACUCCGUGCCAGCAGCCGC
rnacentral:rRNA from 1 species